CCGGGGCAGGAACCCGUGUCCCCUGCAUCGGCAGGCGGACUCUCAACCACUGCGCCACCAGGGAAGCCCCAUUUCUUUUGUUUUAAGCCACUUAACUUUGUGGUACUUUGGUAUGGCAGCCUUAGGAAACUAAUACAUUGGCAAACAGGGCAUCUAGCAGAGAAUAAGAUAUAGAACUUACAUUUUGAUGAAGGAGGCAUGACAAUAGACAUAGAUGAAUAAAUAUGAAAAUGGUGGGUUCAGGUACUAAAAGUAGGGUCAUGUGAUAUUGUAGUUCUUACUUGAAGGAAGAGAAGCCCUUUGUGUAGGCGGUGGGCUGGAACCAGAUCACAUAGGGCCUUGGGAUGCUGUAUGGGAAAAGGGAUUGUCACGGAGCCACCAUGGACAGACCUAACUGGGUUAUUCAGAUGGAUGAUGGUGGUUUUGAAAAGAGCGGUGGCAAUGGAGGUGAAGUGAAAUGGACAGAUUCGAGAUAUUUCGUGAUGAUUGAACCAAAAGAUCUUGCUGAUGGAUUGGCUGUGGAGAUGGGAAAAGAGAGGAAGCAAGGAUGAAUCUAGAUUUUUGACUUAAGCCCAAACCAUUAAUUUUUGAGUAGGUGGUGAGGUCUUUUAUUGAAGUGGGGAAGAUUAGGGGAGGCACAUGUUGGGGGUGAGAGGGAUGGAAUCAAGAGUUCUGUUAGGUUCGAGAUGCCUGUUAAACAUCUUUGUGGAGGUGCAAGCAAGCCAUUGGUUGUUUGAGUUCAGUGGCAGGAGGGCCUCUAAGACCAGGGUCCUCUCCCUGUAUGGUGACAAAAGAUUUUUCCAAAUCCCAAGGCCUCCAGUGAGACUGGAGAGAGUUUCUUUUUUCCUAUUGGAAGCCUUCUCUUUGUCCAGGGUUAUAGCUGGGCAUAUGCCUCCUGAGUGGCCCUGAAUAACCGCUAAUGCUAACAGACUUGCUAAGUAGUGUGGAAGUUUUUAAACUCCUUCACGAAGUAUUUUGUGCUUCCUGCAGUGUCUUCAGAGCCAUGUCUAGCUUCAUCUGCAGAGUCAGGUCUCCUGGGGCUUCCAGGAUAAACUGGGUGGAAGCAUUGGGGGAAGCUGUAGGUGACCCUGGACAGUAUUUCCAGGACUCCAGGCUCCAAGCUGGUUGACUAAUUAAGAAAGCAGAAGAAACUUUUGCUUUGCACAGACUCAUUUCCAGCACAAAGAGCUUGGGGGAAAAAAAAAAGCCAGAAAUUCCUCUACUCUGGGCAGGCCAAGCCUCACCCGAGUGUGCUGACUCAGAAAUAGCAGCUGCUUGCCCUGGGAGCCAGCAGUUGUUGGCACAAUCAAAGAUCAAUUAAAACAUGCCAUUCUGGUUUGUUCUCCCUACACCAGUCCUUCCAGGGCACUUCCUCUCACUUUCAGCUUCCUCCAAAGACUUCUUUCCUGCCUAGUUAACUUGGAGCCCAGUGGCCUGUGAAGGAGGUGGCUGGAAGGAGGGAGGAGCCGUGCACCAGCAGCUAAGACCUGGGGCUUGCUUGGCUUCCUCCAGCACCAUUCCUGGGACUGUCAGUAAUUCACUGACCUCCCUGGGCCUCUGGUUCCCCAACUACAAAGCAGAUAGUGAUUGUCCACCUUCCUGUCCUGUGCUUCCAGGGUCACCCUGAGGGUGAAGAGAGAAUGCAUAUGGCCAUGCUCCGUAAACUGUAGGCCCCUCUCCAAGUUUAGUGGUUUCUGUGACGUAUAGCAUAUAGAAUACGACAAAGUGUGUAUUUUUAACCCAUCUUAAAAUUAACCCUAAGAGAAAAAAAAAAAUGGAAUCAUUCUUUUCUAGUUGCAAAAUAGUUUAAGGGGGAAGAAAUCAAUAAUCCAGAAACUCCUGGAGUUUCUCGAAGUUGACAUCUCCCUGGCCCCAGGGGCCCAGAAGAGGGGGUGUAACUGGGUGCCAGAGAAUGGCUACAACACAGGGUUCCAGGAGCCUCCCAGGGAGGGUUGCCAGAUCAAGUAAAUAAAACUACAGUAUGUCCAGUUAAGUUGGAAUUUCAGAUAAACAACACAUAAUUUUUAGUAUAAGUAUGUUCCAAAUAUUGCAUGGGAUACACUUAUACUAAAAAAUUAUUCAUUGUUAUCCGGCAGCUCUACAGGAUGCCUGGGUCACAUCAAGCAGAGGAUUCAGUAGGUCUAGAAAGCCACGCGGGUGGUCAAUAUGCCUCACUCGUGUCCCCAGGAGAGUGCCCUGCUUUCAGCGUAGGGUCUCCUUACCCUUCAAGCAAUUCGGAUUAAGGAAAUGGUCUGCCUUUACUAAUUCAGUAUGUGUGUUUGAGGGCUUCCUAUGUACAAAAGGGCAUUGUCUAAAUGUGCAUGACCAUAAAUCUAGUCACUGUAGACUUAAAGCUCAGAGAGUGUUAGAGGAAGGAGAGGAGACCAGACUCAAAGGAGACAACAAGGUGAAAGGUGAGGAGGCUGUUUGCUGGGAGGAGGACUGAGGAGAAGCCAGGGGCAGGGGCUUCCCAUCCCCCAGCACAGCCUCUUUCCCCGCUGACUGAGCGCUUGGACCCCCUAACUGUCAUGCCCUUAUGCAACUCCUCCCUGCAAAGUCCACACAUUGCUGUCACUAGUGGGCUUUGGACACAGGCUUUUCAGUGAGGUGAAGGGAAGCAGUGAGGGAAUUACCCUGGGCAACGCCUCUUCUGAGGGAAGCAAAUUUGAGAUUUUCUGCAUAACUUGUCAUUAGCAACACCAGACGUGCACAAAAAGGAGAAAGCAAAGAACACUGGCCACUGACCGUGCUGUACUCCCGCCUCAGGAGACACUUGUCUGGCCCCAGUGUCUCCUUCCUUCCCUUCCUUCCUGCCUUUCCUCAUUAUUUCCUGACUAACUACUCACAGAGGAGAAUCAGCCGGAGUCCCACUAAUAGGAUGCCUACAAUCAGAGGUAAGAAAGUUAAGAAGGGGAAAGAACUGAGGCCUGAGAUCAUGCCCAACUGAGGAAUCCAGGAAGGCUUCCUGGAGGAGCUAGCAUUUUGUUGUGAGGGCUGAAGCACACAUAGGAUUUGGACAUGUAGUGAUGGGUGGGUGGGGGAGACAGGUCACACACAAGCAGAGGAGAGCGCAAGGCAAGGAACAGAGCUGGAGAAGCCCAGAACACAAGAAGAAAGUGGUGAUCAGGGAGAUUUCAGACCAUUCUGAGGUUGGUCUCAGGGUUCAAACCAGGGACUCAAGGGAAAGCAAAGUUUGCACUGUCCUAGGAUGCUCAGAGAAACGUUCUGACCCACUUGUUUACCUGUUUUUCUCUUUCCCCUCACUUGAGCACAUCUUUCUCUGUUGGAGACUCAUUUAUAAUUCAGGCAACCUCCUUCAGAGGGAGCAGGUGUUUCUCUGGGAUGAAGCACCUUGGGAAGCAGAAUGUACAAGUGGAAAAAAGGCGUGUCACAGCAGAGCUGGGCAGAGAGAAAACUGGGUCGCAGCAAGGGCAGAGGAGGAGGAGGCUUGUUGGUAUGCGGUGACGAGGCAGCAAAAGAGGAAAUCAUUCCCUUCCUAUACCCGCUUCUGAAAAUCUGGAUUGACUUUACCCUCCUUCAGCCCCACUAUCCAUGAUCUCAUCACUAGACUGCCUUUCUUUGAAUCUCAACACCCCCUUCCUCCUCCAAGAUGUCCCUUUAAAAAUGCUCACAUCCUUAUGAAGGACUGUCUACCCUGAGUUCCUCAGACAGCAGAGCCUGAGGUAAAUAAGCUUAAGUAUCUGUUUUAUUAGGGUGUGCAACCCCAGGAGCAGAAGUAAGGGCAAAGGGGAGUGAGGCGGAGGGAGAUCCAAUAGAAGGGCAUAUUUUCAAGCUGGCCACAACUUGUAUAAAAACCACAAGUGCUGCUUUCACGAGACCAUCUUCUGAGAGGCCGUAUGACAACCAUAUACAACAUUCCUUCUCAGUCAGGAGAGGAAGGAAGAAGAAUGCAUCUGCAAGCUCCCAUCUCCUAUGGAGGCAUUUGGCCCAUGGGCAUAAGUUCCUCUGCUCUUUCACAUUGCACAUGCGUGAGCACCAGGCAGGCCACGAGGCACUUUAUGUGUCAGCGUCAACAGGUAAGCCCCAUCCCCAUGACGGUGGUGAAUGGCGUGGCCGUGAGGUGAAGCACUGUGGUGGCCGGGCCUGGGUGAAGGUUAUUGGGACCCACACAGAACUGGUCUGCAGUGGAGACUGGGGCUGAAACAAGUGGCCUUUGGAGAGGCCAGAGAGAUUCUGGAGAUGCCCAUGUGGUAUCUGGUUCAGGGACGUUCCUUCAUCUUAUUAUUAGCAGCUGUCGCCUGGGUUACCAGUUAGCUCUUUAGCAGGUGCUUGACUGCUGGUGACCCCUGAGGACGGGAGCCAGACACGGCUUGGACGUGUCACGGGGUGGAGGUGCCGGGGACAGGGUGGGCAUCAGGCAAGCUCACUUCCCCACCCCCGGUCCUAGGUUGGCGUGUGGCUGUGAUGCGAAUCACCCUGAAAGCCCAUUUGGGCCGCUCACCUCUGGCUGGGAGGCAGGCCCCCAGAGGGCCCCGGCAAGCAAAUGCAACCCCACUCGAAGACAAGACAUGAAAGGGGCUCCUGAGGACCCAGCGUUAUUGACGGCCUACUCAAGUCAGAGGAAAUCAAUAGCUCCCUAGAAACGGCUUUGGGGAAUAAACAAGUGCCGAUGAAGGAAAAGGAAAAACAAAUACUUGCUCUCCGUGAGUGAGGGUGAGAGGAUGUGUCAGGAUUUCCCCCAGAUUGACAGUGUUUCUAUAAACUUUUGACUGACACCUGCCAAGAAGGAGGGUCUGUGUGUAAGCUGCUCUUCUGAUGCUGGCACAGCUGAGCUUGACAUUGACAGACAAGCCCCGCCUCCUUUCCCACAAUCCAUUGCUGUGGGGCUCCUUUAACUGAAAGGUUACACGAGAUACCGAGUACUGCCUUCCCCCUCAUCCCCAAUUCACAUAUUGAAGUCCUAACCCCCAGUACCUAAGAAUGUGACUGGAUUUGGAGAUAAAAGUUUUAAAGAGACAGGUACAGAGAAAAGACCAUGUGAAGAUAUAAGGAGAAGAUAGCCAUCUACAAGCCAACGAGAGAGGCUUCGGGAGAAACCAACACUGCUGACACAUUGAUCUUGGACUUCUAGCCUCUAGAACUAUUACAAAAGCAAGGUUCAGAGAACCCCAAGAUCACUUGGAACCCUCAAGAGGAAUUUCAGGAAAUUGUACCAAAUAUGAACCCUAAGUAAAUGUUUCCUCUUAAAAUGGAUCAUUUCUACCGAGGAGAUCAUUUCCUACCACGUAGCAGCAAAGUUUGAAAUAACAGAUUAUACUAUUUCUGGACAGCAGUAACAUGAACAGCAAAGGACUUCCAAGAGAUACCUGAAUAAGUGGAACUCUAAGUGCCAGUUCCAGAGAUCAAAGGAAGACUCAACUAUGCAGGCCAGCCCUGCUCUAUGCCAAAAGGUGGGAAAGUUCAAGGGAUAGAAGAUGAAAAGGCAUCCUGUGAGCAAAGUCCUUCUGCCCGGGAGAGGCGUGAACCUUUAUCCAGGUGCCAGCCAUUUCAUCCCACUGAAGAUGGGAGGUUGAUGUCAUUUCAUUCGCAGGAUGAGGGAAGGAGUCUUGAAAUGGAAUUCUCGUCACUCUGAGGCUGCGAAUGAACUCUGCCAUCCACAGCCAGCUACCUGCAUGCCCUGGAGGCCGGCGUAGCACUAUGACCGGAUCCUUCUCACUGCAGGUGCAAGGGCUCACCAAGGGUUGAUGAGAAGAAAGAAAGAAGUCUGCAUGUUUUAGGCCUUUAUCAUUGGACACUUAAGUACAGUUCAAUGUUUCUUGAGAGAGAUAAGAGCCAGAAAGUUCCAGCAGGAAGCAGGUCUCCUUUAGAAGAGUGGGCUAAUCUUGCUUGACCUUGACUUCCCAGAAUGAGACCCUCUGAACAGCUUUGAAACAGCUUCUAGGAUGGCAGUGACCAGGCUCCUGUGUCGAAACAACUCCUCGCGCUGCGACUGCCCAGAGAACCAAGCAAGUGGAGCAGGGCUGGCGUCACAGAAGCUUCAGCCAACUGGAGAAACAGCAUUUGAAGCAAGUCAGAGCUCUUUCAGAUGUGCUGUGAUCGAGAAGAAAAAGAUUGGUGAGAGAAAAAUGGGAACCGAGUAAGGAAAAUUAGCUGGCUGUGGUAUACGGAAGGGGCCCUUAAGUCUACUUCAGCAUAUAAGUCUAAUGAGUGCAUCUCUCUUUGUGCAGUGAGAAGUGAAUAGUGAGGGGAGGACAAAGGGAUGGGACGAGGGGAAAGCUUUUGUCUAUUUUUGGCAGAGAGAAUGAAAGGGCCCUUGACUGCUUCAGUGGCCAUGCUGCAACAAAAGAGUAAGUGAAGCUCUUCUCACUAAGAACAGGGGCACGGGAAGGACAGGAGGGUCCUGUCUGCAGCAGAGGUCUUAGAGGAGCCCUGAACAUAGCAGACUUUAUGUGGAGCUGUAUGAAUUAUUUUGCACCGAGUAACAAAUCAUCCCCAACCUCAGUGGCUUAAAGCAACAACCGCUUACUGAAAUGACGGCUCUGCGGGCUGGCUGGGCCGUUCUUUGGUCUGGGCCAGCUUGGCUGAGCUCCGCCGGGCUGCGCACCUGCCAUCAGCGGGCAAAUCGGCUGGCAGUUGAGUGACUGAGGGUGGCAUCACUCACAGGUCUGGUGGCCAGUAGGCUGUUAGUAAGAGUUAUGUGACCCGGCCACACGCCUCUCCUCAUCCUGUGGGCUAACACGGGUUUGUUUAUGGGGCAGCGGAUUUCCAGGAGCUGCGUGAGAGGCAGCGGCAAAGCCCCUUGAGGCCUAGGCUGAAAGCUGCACAUCUUCACUUCCAAUGCAUUCUGUUGAUCAAAGGCCAGCUAGAGUGACCAACUGUCCUAGUUUGCCCAGCGCUGAGGGGUUUCCCAGGACACAGGACUUUCAGUAUAAAAAUUGGGAGAGUUCUGAACAAACCAGGACAGUUGGUCACUCUAAUGGCCAGCCCAGGUGCAAAGAAUGGGGAACUUGACCUUUCUCCAAAGAAGAUAUAAAAUGACCAAUAAACACACGAAAAGAUGUGCAACAUCACUAAUAAUUAGGAAAAUGCAAAUCAAAGCCACAGUGAGAUGCCACUUCAUACUCUUUAGGAAGGCUGUUAUCCAAAAAACAGAAAAUAACAAGUGUUAGAGAAUGUGGAGGAAUUGGAACAUUUGUGUAUUGCUGGUGGGAAUGUAAAAUGGUGCAGCCACUGUGGGAAACAUUAUGGCGAUUCCUCAAAAAAGUAAACACAAAAUUACUGUAUGA